rnacentral:rRNA from 1 species
CCCGCUGAACUUAAGCAUAUCAAUAAGCGGAGGAAAAGAAACCAACAGGGAUUCCCUUAGUAACGGCGAGUGAAGCGGGAAAAGCUCAAAUUUAAAAUCUCCUAGGUUCCCUAGGCGAAUUGUGAGUUUCUAGAAGCGUUUUCUGAGGUGGCCUCGGUCCAAGUCUGCUGGAAGGCAGCGCCAUAGAGGGUGAUAGCCCCGUAGGAUCCUGAACCAUUUCUUUAUGAUUGCGUCUUCAAAGAGUCGUACAGUUUGAGAAUGCUGUGCUAAAUGGGAGGUAAAUAUCUUCUAAAGCUAAAUAUUGGCGUGAGACCGAUAGCGAACAAGUACCGUGAGGGAAAGAUGAAAAGAACUUUGAAAAGAGAGUUAAAUAGUACGUGAAAUUGUCUAAAGUGAAACGUUUGAAACUAGUAUCGGGAGAUUACGGACAACCGCAAGGUGCAUUCGUGGUUUCCUGUGCCAGCGACGGUUUCGUUUGCUGUAAAUGCUCCUGGGAAUGUAGCUUCGGUGUUAUAGCUCAGGGUGAGUGCUGUGGAUGGGACCGAUGAUCGCCACUGCCUUGGGGAAGCAGCUGCCUCGAAGCAAGCGAUGCUAGACAACUUGUUGUACUAGUGUCGUCUUUUGUUAGGGACCGGUUGUGUCCCACUUACAGUGUAGGUUGCUGGUGAAAUAGUUUUAAGCGACCCGUCUUGAAACACGG